rnacentral:rRNA from 1 species
AUUGAACGCUGGCGGCAGGCCUAACACAUGCAAGUCGAAUGGUAACAGGAAACAGCUUGCUGUUUCGCUGACGAGUGGCGGACGGGUGAGUAAUGUCUGGGAAACUGCCUGAUGGAGGGGGAUAACUACUGGAAACGGUAGCUAAUACCGCAUAACGUCGCAAGACCAAAGAGGGGGGCCUUCGGGCCCCUUGCCAUCAGAUGUGCCCAGAUGGGAUUAGCUAGUAGGUGGGGUAACGGCUCACCUAGCCGACGAUCCCUAGCUGGUCUGAGAGGAUGACCAGCCACACUGGAACUGAGACACGGUCCAGACUCCUACGGGAGGCAGCAGUGGGGAAUAUUGCACAAUGGGCGCAAGCCUGAUGCAGCCAUGCCGCGUGUAUGAAGAAGGCCUUCGGGUUGUAAAGUACUUUCAGCGGGGAGGAAGGGAGUAAAGUUAAUACCUUUGCUCAUUGACGUUACCCGCAGAAGAAGCACCGGCUAACUCCGUG